UGGCUCCUGUUUGCUGUAGGUUGUUUUAAUUCUCCUUGACCUCUCUGCUGCCUUUGACACUAGACUACAAGAUCUUACUGACCCCCAUCAAACUUUGGGGAUCACUCGACUCCACUGUACUCAACUGGUUCAACUCGAAUCUAACAGGCUGAUCUUUCAAGGAAAACCUGGUAGGAGAGACGUACAGGUCACAUCAGCUGAUGACUGGGGUUCCACAAGACAUCUUUUUUUGAAAGAAGAAAUGCCACCUUGAACCUAGCCAAGAGUGAACUCCUGGUAAUCCUUGUCAAACCAUCAACAGAACAGCACACACUUCUCCUUUCAACUCGAUCCUCAACUUCAACACCUGUCUGUGAGGAACCUGACGGUGGUGUUCGAUGACCGGAAGAAAUGUAUUGACCACAUCACAGCAACCAAUUGUAACUACAAGAUCUUACGGACCCUCAUCCAACUUUGGGUAUCACUCGACUCCACUGUACUCAACUGGUUCAACUCAAAUCUAACAGGCUGAUCUUUCAAGGAAAACCUGGGAGGAGGCAUCCAGGUCACACCAGCUGACCACUGGGGUUCCACAAGAAAUGCCAACUUCAACCUAGCCAAGAGUGAACUUGUGGUAAUCCUUGUCAACCCAUCAACUGAACACCACUCAAUUCUCCUUUCAACUCGAUCCUCAACUCCAAC